rnacentral:ribozyme from 12 species
CAGAAAUAAAAUACAAGAAGAAGACAAAGACGAAGAAGAAGAAAAAGAAGAAGAGGUUGAUGAUCCAAUAUUACUGUUGCUGUUGAAUUCUCUGCUAGUAUUGCUGUUAUCAGGUAUUCCCUUGUUCUUCUUGUUCUUCUUCUUUCCCCCUUUAUUCUUAUUAUC